UUGGGCUAAACGACUGAGCUA
ensembl:piRNA 21ur-8956 ncRNA